rnacentral:rRNA from 1 species
GUCAACAUCCUUAACGAAUUUAAUCCGUUCUAACCUUUUGACCGUAAUACCCUAACAUCAUAAGCACGCUUUCGACAUCAAGGCAACGUAUCGGAGAUCAGACGAAUAGCCCAGAAAGGUAUCCGUUGCAAUCCUCGGUCUCAAACAUCACAUCUACCAAAGGUUAUAACACUUCGAUACGAGAUCGAAGCCACAUUCCUCCAGUCAUUUUAUGACAUUCAAAACCGAUGUUGACUAACCGUACGAGAAAGUACACCAAAAGAGCCCAAUCCUAGCAAAUCAGAAGGCUUUUAAACUCCUCGAAACCCACAAGAACAAACUCAAAAGGUUGAUUUCCCGUUGGUAUGACUGACUUCAAUCGUUUCCCUUUCAA